rnacentral:rRNA from 1 species
AUUGAACGCUGGCGGCAUGCCUUACACAUGCAAGUCGAACGGUAACAGGUCUUCGGAUGCUGACGAGUGGCGAACGGGUGAGUAAUACAUCGGAACGUGCCCAGUAGUGGGGGAUAACUACUCGAAAGAGUGGCUAAUACCGCAUGAGAUCUACGGAUGAAAGCAGGGGAUCGCCAGACCUUGUGCUACUAGAGCGGCCGAUGGCAGAUUAGGUAGGUGGUGGGAUAAAAGCUUACCAAGCCGACGAUCUGUAGCUGGUCUGAGAGGACGAUCAGCCACACUGGGACUGAGACACGGCCCAGACUCCUACGGGAGGCAGCAGUGGGGAAUUUUGGACAAUGGGCGAAAGCCUGAUCCAGCAAUGCCGCGUGCAGGAUGAAGGCCUUCGGGUUGUAAACUGCUUUUGUACGGAACGAAAAGCCCCGGGUUAAUACCCUGGGGUCAUGACGGUACCGUAAGAAUAAGCACCGGCUAACUACGUGCCAGCAGCCGCCGUAA